GGGUUGUGAGGUUAAGCGAAUAAGCGUACACGGUGGAUGCCUAGGCAAUCAGAGGCGAUGAAGGACGUGCUAAUCUGCGAUAAGCGUCGGUAAGGUGAUAUGAACCGUUAUACCCGACGAUUUCCGAAUGGGGAAACCCAAUAUCCAAUGGAUAUUAUCAUGACGUGAAUACAUAGCGUCAUGAAGCGAACCGGGAGAACUGAAACAUCUCAGUACCCCGAGGAAAAGAAAUCAACCGAGAUUCCCCUAGUAGCGGCGAGCGAACGGGGAACAGCCCAGAGUCUUAAUCAACAGCAGCAUCAGGAGAACGGUCUGGAAAGUCCGGCAGUAAAGGGUGAUAGCCCCGUAUCUGAAGAUGCUGUUAUUGUGAACUCGACGAGUAGGGCGGGACACGUGUUAUCCUGUCUGAAUAUGGGGGGACCAUCCUCCAAGGCUAAAUACUCCUGAUUGACCGAUAGUGAACCAGUACCGUGAGGGAAAGGCGAAAAGAACCCCGGCGAGGGGAGUGAAAAAGAACCUGAAACCGUGUACGUACAAGCAGUAGGAGCCUCUUUAUGGGGUGACUGCGUACCUUUUGUAUAAUGGGUCAGCGACUUAUAUUCUGUAGCAAGGUUAACCGUAUAGGGGAGCCGUAGGGAAACCGAGUCUUAACUGGGCGAAUGAGUUGCAGGGUAUAGACCCGAAACCCGGUGAUCUAUCCAUGGGCAGGUUGAAGGUUGGGUAACACUAACUGGAGGACCGAACCGACUAAUGUUGAAAAAUUAGCGGAUGACUUGUGGAUGGGGGUGAAAGGCCAAUCAAACCGGGAGAUAGCUGGUUCUCCCCGAAAGCUAUUUAGGUAGCGCCUCGUGAACUCAUCUUCGGGGGUAGAGCACUGUUUCGACUAGGGGGUCAUCCCGACUUACCAACUCGAUGCAAACUGCGAAUACCGAAGAAUGUUAUCACGGGAGACACACGGCGGGUGCUAACGUCCGUCGUGAAGAGGGAAACAACCCAGACCGCCAGCUAAGGUCCCAAAGUCAUGGUUAAGUGGGAAACGAAGUGGGAAGGCUCAGACAGCCAGGAUGUUGGCUUAGAAGCAGCCAUCAUUUAAAGAAAGCGUAAUAGCUCACUGGUCGAGUCGGCCCGCGCGGAAGAUGUAACGGGGCUAAACCAUGCACCGAAGCUGCGGCAGCGACACUAUGUGUUGUUGGGUAGGGGAGCGUUCUGUAAGCCUGCGAAGGUGUACUGUGAGGUAUGCUGGAGGUAUCAGAAGUGCGAAUGCUGACAUAAGUAACGAUAAUGCGGGUGAAAAACCCGCACGCCGGAAGACCAAGGGUUCCUGUCCAACGUUAAUCGGGGCAGGGUGAGUCGACCCCUAAGGCGAGGCUGAAAAGCGUAGUCGAUGGGAAACGGGUUAAUAUUCCCGUACUGGUGGUAACUGCGAUGGGGGAACGGAGAAGGCUAGGUUGUCCGGGCGACGGUCGUCCCGGUUCAAGCAUGUAGGCAGAGUGAUUAGGCAAAUCCGGUCACUUAAUGCUGAGGUGUGAUGACGAGCCACUAAGGUGGUGAAGCAAUUGAUGCCCUGCUUCCAGGAAAAGCCUCUAAGCUUCAGGUUACCAACAAUCGUACCCCAAACCGACACAGGUGGUCAGGUAGAGAAUACUCAGGCGCUUGAGAGAACUCGGGUGAAGGAACUAGGCAAAAUGGUGCCGUAACUUCGGGAGAAGGCACGCUGGCGGUAAGUGAAGUCCCUCGCGGACGGAGCCGAAGCCAGUCGAAGAUACCAGCUGGCUGCAACUGUUUAUUAAAAACACAGCACUGUGCAAACACGAAAGUGGACGUAUACGGUGUGACGCCUGCCCGGUGCUGGAAGGUUAAUUGAUGGGGUUAUCCGUAAGGAGAAGCUCUUGAUCGAAGCCCCAGUAAACGGCGGCCGUAACUAUAACGGUCCUAAGGUAGCGAAAUUCCUUGUCGGGUAAGUUCCGACCUGCACGAAUGGCGUAAUGAUGGCCAGGCUGUCUCCACCCGAGACUCAGUGAAAUUGAACUCGCUGUGAAGAUGCAGUGUACCCGCGGCAAGACGGAAAGACCCCGUGAACCUUUACUAUAGCUUGACACUGAACAUUGAGCCUUGAUGUGUAGGAUAGGUGGGAGACUUUGAAGUGUGGACGCCAGUCUGCAUGGAGUCAACCUUGAAAUACCACCCUUUAACGUUUGAUGUUCUAACCUAGGUCCAUAAUCUGGAUCGGGGACCGUGUCUGGUGGGUAGUUUGACUGGGGCGGUCUCCUCCUAAAGAGUAACGGAGGAGCACGAAGGUUGGCUAAGCAUGGUCGGACAUCAUGCGGUUAGUGCAAAGGCAUAAGCCAGCUUGACUGUGAGAGUGACGGCUCGAGCAGGUACGAAAGUAGGUCUUAGUGAUCCGGUGGUUCUGAAUGGAAGGGCCAUCGCUCAACGGAUAAAAGGUACUCCGGGGAUAACAGGCUGAUACCGCCCAAGAGUUCAUAUCGACGGCGGUGUUUGGCACCUCGAUGUCGGCUCAUCACAUCCUGGGGCUGAAGUAGGUCCCAAGGGUAUGGCUGUUCGCCAUUUAAAGUGGUACGCGAGCUGGGUUUAGAACGUCGUGAGACAGUUCGGUCCCUAUCUGCCGUGGGCGUUGGAAGAUUGAGAGGGGUUGCUCCUAGUACGAGAGGACCGGAGUGAACGCACCACUGGUGUUCGGGUUGUCAUGCCAAUGGCAUUGCCCGGUAGCUAAGUGCGGAAGAGAUAACCGCUGAAAGCAUCUAAGCGGGAAACUUGCCUCGAGAUGAGUCUUCCCUGUCACCUUGAGUGACCUAAAGGAACGUUUAAGACUAAGACGUUGAUAGGCUGGGUGUGUAAGCGUAGCGAUACGUUGAGCUAACCAGUACUAAUGAACCGUGAGGCUUAACCUGACAACACCGAAGGUGUUU
rnacentral:rRNA from 1 species